rnacentral:rRNA from 1 species
CCUGGGAACUGCGUUNUGAACUGGGUGACUAGAGUGUGUCAGAGGGAGGUAGAAUUCCACGUGUAGCAGUGAAAUGCGUAGAGAUGUGGAGGAAUACCGAUGGCGAAGGCAGCCUCCUGGGAUAACACUGACGUUCAUGCCCGAAAGCGUGGGUAGCAAACAGGAUUAGAUACCCUGGUAGUCCACGCCCUAAACGAUGUCGAUUAGCUGUUGGGCAGCAUGACUGCUUAGUAGCGAAGCUAACGCGUGAAAUCGACCGCCUGGGGAGUACGGUCGCAAGAUUAAAACUCAAAGGAAUUGACGGGGACCCGCACAAGCGGUGGAUGAUGUGGAUUAAUUCGAUGCAACGCGAAGAACCUUACCUGGUCUUGACAUGUACGGAACCCUCCAGAGACGGAGGGGUGCCUUCGGGAGCCGUAACACAGGUGCUGCAUGGCUGUCGUCAGCUCGUGUCGUGAGAUGUUGGGUUAAGUCCCGCAACGAGCGCAACCCUUGUCAUUAGUUGCCAUCAUUAAGUUGGGCACUCUAAUGAGACUGCCGGUGACAAGCCGGAGGAAGGUGGGGAUGACGUCAAGUCCUCAUGGCCCUUAUGACCAGGGCUUCACACGUCAUACAAUGGUCGGUACAGAGGGUAGCCAAGCCGCGAGGUGGAGCCAAUCUCACAAAACCGAUCGUAGUCCGGAUUGCACUCUGCAACUCGAGUGCAUGAAGUCGGAAUCGCUAGUAAUCGCAGGUCAGCAUACUGCGGUGAAUACGUUCCCGGGUCUUGUACACACCGCCCGUCACACCAUGGGAGUGGGGGAUACCAGAAGUAGG